GACGUAGGGUGCGAGCGUUGUCCGGAUUUAUUGGGCGUAAAGAGCUCGUAGGCGGCUUGUUACGUCGGCUGUGAAAACCCGCGGCUCAACCGCGGGCCUGCAGCCGAUACGGGCAGGCUAGAGUGGCUGGGUAGGGAUGGAAUUCCUGGUGUAGCGGUGGAAAUGCGCAGAUAUCAGGAGGAACACCGGAGCGGAAGGCGGUCUCUGGGCCGACUACUCGUGAGGAGCGAAAGCGUGGGGAGCGAACAGG
rnacentral:rRNA from 1 species